ACUGUGGAACUGGUAAGACGAUCGGCUGGAUCUUCGGAUCUCCCCGAUAUGAACCUUCCCGUGCUUUUUAGAACAUAGAUGGCACCAGUCAGGUGACCAUCGAAACGUAAUACGCCGCGAUGACUUCGGUCACGACGGUAUGGCGAGCUUUCGCCGUCCACGUUUCUCUUUCUUCAAAAGGAUAUCGAACCAUUGGUUUGCGCUCACGCACGUACCGCCCUUCGGGCUGUGCUCCGCGGGGGCGCCGGGCGACCGGCGACGGCCUCUGGCCUGUAUGGGCGACCCUUUCCGAGGUUUUUGCUUAGGAUUGGCGUCGACGCAGAGAGAUGGGCCCGUAGCUCAGUUGGUUAGAGCACACGCUUGAUAAGCGUGGGGUCGGAAGUUCAAGUCUUCCCGGGCCCACCAUUUGCACCAGCAAAUGAGGUUUGCUGUAGCGAAUUGUGGUUUGUUUGGGUUUACCUGAUCCUGACGGUUUGCUGUCAGGUGUUUGCGAUGGUUGGGGCUGUAGCUCAGCUGGGAGAGCACCUGCUUUGCAAGCAGGGGGUCAGCGGUUCGAUCCCGCUCAGCUCCACCAAUCGCUUGGCGGUGAAAUGAUAUCCUUAAGAAAUAAAGUUUGCAUCGGCUUAUGGCUGAUGCGUGUUCUGCAUACAUUGUGAAGAGAAGAUUGAUCUGGAGGCUUCCAGGUGUCGGGUUCUNCCCUUUUGGGUUUAACUUGGCGUCCGAGCCCAGUUCUGAUGAUCCCAUGGAUGGCCUAGCCGGCCGGAUAUGGGUGAAGGACUGGAGGUAGGAAGGAAGCUUGUCGCUCUGGGUCGUUGUUGUUUGCUGAUCUUUAGGGAUGAGCAUCUGACGGACGACUUGAUUACCGUUGCCUGACCGCGCGGUAUCGGAUCAUAUCUCGAGAAGCUGGUCUUAAGACAGGCUGCAAGCGAGCUGCUCGGCGUAGCUCUAAUAAAGCAGACCUGUCGAACACGUCGAUGGCAUCAUGAAAUGAUCCGGUUGUAAAAGGUAACCGGAUUUUUGGACUGGCCGCACGGCAAUCGCAAGGUUGUCGGGAUGGUCGCACGUCCAAAUAUGGAUGAGCAUUGGCAAUGAGAACGAUUAAGUGUCGUAAGGGCAUUUGGUGGAUGCCUUGGCAUGCACAGGCGAUGAAGGACGUGAUACGCUGCGAAAAACCGUGGGGAGCUGCGAAUGAGCU
rnacentral:misc_RNA from 1 species